rnacentral:lncRNA from 1 species
CCAAAGGUCAUCUAAUUAAUCUAGAAUUAUUAAUUAAUCUAACUAAUUAUCAAUUAAUCUAGAAUUAUUAAUUAAUUACUAAUUAAGGGUUUAACCAUAUUUUAUUCAAACUUUAUCCAAAUGCCACCAAAUUUUGUGUGGAGCCAGGGAAUAAUACUCAGAGGCAUCCCGCAAAUUUUGGUGAUUUUUGGCCAUAUUAAAAAAUUACUAAAAUUCAUAGAAGUUUUAUUUACUAAUUAAAAGAGGCAAUUUUCAUACACAUGUAAACUAUCAGAAAAUAAAAUCUAAUAUUUUUCUUGGGUUCUACUUAUUUCAAGGAACCUAUACAAAAAUUUUAAUAAUAUUUGGAUCAGUACACAAUUUAUUACACAAAUUCAAAAUUAAAGCAAAAACUGCACAAAAAGAAAAAGAAAAAAAACUGCUGCGCAGCGAGCAGCCGGGAAAUCGGCCCGCAGGCCGGCCCACUCCCGCUCGGCCCACGCGGGCGCUGCGCGCGCACCCUCCCCCUCACGUGGUCACUGACGAGUGGGUCCCGCUCGUCAGGCCCUCCUCUCCCCUCUCACUGCGGGACGCUGACGGGGUAGCCCCACCCGUCAGCUCCGCCCCUACCGCGC